AUCUUGGAGAUGGAGGAAAGCUUGCCAGAACAACUGCACACCCCAUCCACUCCUCAUGUUCUCAGUUUGUUCUUCUCUGUGAUACAACCAGCAUCAUGAGAACAGCCAGCAGCAGCUCCAGCGUGAUGAAAUUUUCACUCCUUGACAAGUGUAAGAAGCCGAAAAACUAUGCCCAGCCAGAAGUUCUGUGUCACACCUUUGAGGUGCUGUCUAACCUCCACAAGCUGCUUCCGAAUCACCUGGUGGAGAUGCUUUAUUCCCACAAGAGGGAAGAGGACAAGAAAAAAUGUGAGAAUCCUGAACUCUCUGGCUUAGAAAGAAUCUUAGCAAGACAUCAGUUGCCAAAAGAGAUUAAUCUGACCCCAAAGCCGAACAGAAUGCCCCCGUGGAAAAGAAAAAUCAUCAACAAUGUAACUGACAGGUGGAAGAAAUGUCACUUGUUGAAGAGAAACACGAAAGAGCCUCCAAUGUCCACCAUAGUUGUCAGAACAUGCAACCCACUGAAGACCUCAAGUCAGUGAUCUGUAGGCUGUCAGCAUUUGGUCCAAUUCAGUCAGUCACUGUUUGUGGACAUCAAAGUGCUAUAGUGGCAUUCAAAGACAUG
rnacentral:sRNA from 1 species